rnacentral:tRNA from 1 species
UCCCCGGUAGCUCAACCGGUAGAGCCCCGCAUAUUAAGCGGGAAGGUGCAGGUUCGAAGCCUGCCCGGGGAG